GUGAGGUAUAAUGUAUAUGAAUAUACACAUAUAUAUGUAUGUGUUUAUAUGUGUAUUUACAUAUAUUAACACAUAAAUAAAUAUUUAUAUAAGCGUAUACAUAUAUAUUUACUGGGAACACACAGUCCCCAAAGACCACAAUGUGAAGGCACUUUUCAGUGCCGUUUUUUUUUUCUAAUGCCCCACACCUGCCAUAUUUAGCCCCCAAAAAUUUCUUAGUGCAGUUGUGUUUUUUUCUAAAAAUACAUGCUACAUUUUCCUUUUAAAAAAAAAAGGGACUUCACAAGCUAUUUUGCUGGCAAAGUGGUAAAAAAUUAACCAGAGGUCUGAACUGUGGUUAAUUUUUUUGAGCACUAAUUGUACUUGUACACUUGUAAUGACUGAUUAUUUAUUGCGAGCCUAUAAACAGGUGAAUUAGCCCAUUUGCGUGCGCUCAAUAAAUUAGGGCUCCACUUGUAACAUAGCCCUUAAUGGGCUAAGGGGUUGAAUUGCCUCAAUUUCAACUCAUAUUGCAAUUGAAAGUAAAGGAAAUCGCUCCAAUGCUAAUGCAUUUACCGCUCAUGCUUUCAAUUUCAUUUUCAGUAUGAAGAUAAGAAGAUGGACCGCCGCUGGGAUGAAGAUGGGCCACCGCUGGGAUGAAGAUGGAGCACCACCACCCGGAUUCAUCUUUGAACAACAUGAGGAUGUCUGUGUGGAAGAGGAGGUCAAUGCACAGGAGGACCAACCUUUUGUUCAUGAAACCACAUCUCAGGAACCUCAACCUUCAACUUCCCAAGCAAAUAGAGAUAGAGAAGAAAGCGCAUAAGAAGAAGAACAGGUCGAAUUGACACUGGAACCACUAGUCGAGGACACCAUCAAUCAAGAGAAUGAUGAUGAUGAGACCCAAAUACAUGGUCACACACACAGGAGGGACCAACACCACCUGAUUUAAAUACACCUGCUGCGAGUACAAUGGUCAACGAAUCUGACAUUGAGGAAACAGCCGAAGAAGUCAGACAACCUCCAAUUACAGAGCGAACCAAUGACAUACAGGGACUGACAGAUAUGGCAUCAUCAUUUAGAAAUGAACAAAGUGGUUUUUUAAGGAACUAAUUGAAUUACAGAAAGAAAGGAACAAUAUUCUAAAACGUGAUUCAGAAAUAAAAAGUGAUUACUAUAAAAGAAAAUUAGAAAUUCUGAAUCGUAGAUCUCAGAAUUGAUACACAUAAUCCCAAAAAUUCUGUGUAUAUAUUUUUUUGUUUUUCAUUUUGUUGUCGUUUAAAUUUAUUUAAGCUUUGUUUGUUUGAAAGUUUGUAUUAUUUAAUAUUUAUAUAUAGUCUGGUUUGGUUAUAUUUUCAAUAAAGAUAUUUAUCCCUUAAUAAA